CCUACGGGGGGCAGCAGUGAGGAAUAUUGGUCAAUGGACGCAAGUCUGAACCAGCCAUGCCGCGUGCAGGAAGACGGCUCUAUGAGUUGUAAACUGCUUUUGUACGAGGGUAAACGCAGAUACGCGUAUCUGUUUGAAAAUAUCGUACGAAUAAGGAUCGGCUAACUCCGUGCCAGCAGCCGCGGUAAUACGGAGGAUUCAAGCGUUAUCCGGAUUUAUUGGGUUUAAAGGGUGCGUAGGCGGACGGAUAAGUUAGAGGUGAAAGCCCGGGGCUCAACUUCGGAAUUGCCUCUGAUACUGUUGGUCUAGAGAGUAGGUGAGGUAGGCGGAAUGUAUGGUGUAGCGGUGAAAUGCUUAGAGAUCAUACAGAACACCGAUUGCGAAGGCAGCUUACCAAGCUACAUCUGACGUUGAGGCACGAAAGCGUGGGGAGCAAACAGGAUUAGAUACCCGAGUAGUC
rnacentral:rRNA from 1 species